rnacentral:rRNA from 1 species
UGGGCCCGACGGUUUGAUCCUGGCUCAGAUUGAACGCUGGCGGCAUGCCUUACACAUGCAAGUCGAACGGCAGCGCGGGAGCAAUCCUGGCGGCGAGUGGCGAACGGGUGAGUAAUACAUCGGAACGUGCCCAAUCGUGGGGGAUAACGCAGCGAAAGCUGUGCUAAUACCGCAUAAGAUCUACGGAUGAAAGCAGGGGAUCGCAAGACCUUGCGCGAAUGGAGCGGCCGAUGGCAGAUUAGGUAGUUGGUGAGGUAAAGGCUCACCAAGCCUUCGAUCUGUAGCUGGUCUGAGAGGACGACCAGCCACACUGGGACUGAGACACGGCCCAGACUCCUACGGGAGGCAGCAGUGGGGAAUUA